AGAAGGAGGUAUUCUACCAGCAAGCCCAUAGUUGUCACCAGUCAUAAGAUUAGCUAUAGGUACAAAGGGAUAUGUCAACAUUACUGGCUGUAUUAGUCAGGGUUCUCUAGAGUCACAGAACUUAUGGAUAGUCUCUAGAUAGUAAAGGAAUUUAUUGAUGACUUACAGUCGGCAGCCCAAUUCCCAACAAUUGUUCAGUCGCAGCUGUGAAUGGAAGUCCAAGGAUCUAGCAGUUACUCAGUCUCACGCAGCAAGCAGGCGAAGGAGCAGGAGCAAGAGCUGGACUCCCUUCUUCCAAUGUCCUUAUAUUGUCUCCAGCAGAAGGUGUAGCCCAGAUUAAAGGUGUGUUCCUUAAACUCGGAGAUUCAAUCUUCUGGAAUCCAUAGCCACUAUGGCUCAAGAUCUCCAAACCAAGAUCCAGAUAAGGAUCUCCAAGCCUCCAGAUAAGGGUCACUGGUGAGCCUUCCAAUUCCGGAUUGUAGUUCAUUCCAAAUAUUGUCAAGUUGACAACCAGGAAUAGCCACUACACUGGCCAAAAAAAAAAAAAAAAAAAAUCCGGUGACAGCUUGUGAGUAAGUUCAUCUUGCUUACGAUGGAGACCCCACUGUAGGUAUUGACAAGGUAAGCUAAAUAGUCACAGCGCCUCAAACCUCAUGCACCCUAGUUGUUGAGGAGUUAAACCAUGGUGGAAGGAGAGAACCGACUCCUACAUGGCGUCCUCCACUUUAAGAGUGAUUGAUGAUAUAAGAAUGUUCCAAAAAUAACUUUAAAGCCAUUCAGCAAUGGUUUCCUCUCUGUGCACAGAGGAGUGGACUCGGUAGGACUGGGGAUGGGGUGCACACAAAGAGAACAUGAGGCAAUAUAUUAAAAUUUAGUAACUUGAGUAUACAAGAAUUCCUUUUUUGUUUUUACAACUAUUCUAUAAAUUUAGCAUUGUUUCAAGAGAAAAUAUAUAAGAGGAAAACGCAUUAUCUGAAAACAACUUUAAUACACUGCAUCUUGUGGAGGCUAAAGUCACCAGUUAGGUGAGGAUGCCCGUGUUGUAGAAAGGUUGCGGAGACAUGGAAGAGCUUGACUCAUUGAGCUGAUUCACCAUGGUGACUUCCUUGUCAGCUCAGGAAGUGUAGACUAUGUCCUUUCAAAUACCCAUUGAGAAGUGGCCUAGAUACUCCUUAUGUCAUUUAUAAGUCUCACUACUGACUAUGCAUGGACCUCAGUGGGCAAAAGCUUACCUAGCUUUCCAGAUCUCUGAGUUCCAUCUCUAGGGUCACAAACAUCUCUUUGUUGAUCUUAAUGCCGAUAAUCAAAGAAAUAGCAAAUUAUUGAACUGAGAUUAUAGCACACAGCCAUUGUUAUUUCUGGGAAAUUCUAACUCUCCUGAUUUUUUUCUACUUGACAAACUUGUAAUUAUUAUAUGACUGUUUAAAGGCAACCCGUGAAGGGUUUGUUUGAAUAGUCUUAGAAGGGAAGUUUAGUAACUUCAAUCUGAAUUUAGGGUUGUUUGGAUUCGGUAGAAUUUCACUGCUGCCACUCAUUGAAGAUUUUAAUCAAUAAAAAUAAAAGCUUAUAGUAGACAUUUUAUGUCAUCAGCAUUGUCUUUAUUAUGAUAUAUAUCUGUAUCUAUUUAUCUAAUAUAUGUUAUAUGUAUAUGUGUGUGAUGGCUACUGUUUAUGGUCAGUGUGUGAUGGGAGAUGUGUGAUUAAUACUGAGUCAUAGUAACUGUGUGAUGUCCAGUGUGUCAUAUAUAAAAUAUCAUAUGGUGUAUAUAUGAUAUAAGAUAUAUACAUAUACACAUAUAUAUAUAUUAGACAUGGUCUCACUAGAUAUCCCUGGAUGUUCUGGUACUCACUAUAUACUCCAGGCUGGCCUUGAACUCACAGAAAUCUACCUAUCUUUGCCUCCCAAGUGCUGAGAUUAGCAGCCUGUGCCUCUACACCCAGCUACUGAGGUAUUUUAAUGUAGAGCUGAAAUGAAGUUUCUGUAAGAAAUCUUUUAAAAUUAAUAAAACACACUUUUUAUGUGUGUGUCUGUGUUUUGCCUGUAUGUAUGUCUCUGCACCAUGUAAAUGUAUUGCUACGAAGGAAAAAGAGGGUGUUGAGUACCCUGGAACUGGAGAGACAGUUAUGAGCUGCCAUGUGGGUGCUAGGAACCGAAUCUGGGUCCUCUGGAAGAGCAGCAGUGCUCUUAACCACUGGGCAAUCUCCCCAGCCUGAGAAGUCUUUUAUACAGGCAAACUAAGUCAUUUUGCUGGUGAUCUUCACCUUAAACUUCAGAAUAACCAAGCACUGGUACUUUUUCAAACUUGCGGCAGUAUUUUUUUUUUUGACUCAUUAUCUUUUCAGUAUUUAUUUAGUAAUAUAAAGAUUAGAACAUUACUCUUAAUAUAGUCAUUUAAAUUAUUUUCAUUGUUAAUCUUUUGGUAGCAAAAUGUUUUUAGAUACCUUUGGAAAAUCCGGAAUCUCGUGUGUUCCAAGUAGGGAGCAGUUUAUAGGACACAGAUGAGAGGUGCGGGGCCAGGUCUGUAAGCAGCAUCCAGAUGGUUACUUCUGAACCCCUUGAAAUAUGAGGAAAAUGUAAAUUCAGAUUGUGAAAUAAAUUGGAUGUUUAAAUUUUCCUGAAGUGAUAAUUUUCAUAUAGUUAUAUAAAUAUGCACUUACACAAUUUCUUUAUAAUACCUAUGUAAUACUUUGUUCUCUAUCAAAAAGAUUAAAAUAUUGGCAUAUAAUCUAACAUAAAUUAUUAAAAGGUAAACAUUUUUUCCUUUCAAGAGAAAGUGUUUUCUUCUGAGAGAAAUAUUAAAGAAAAGUUUCAGCAAGUGAAAUAAAGCCAAAUUUUGAGAGAUUAAAAAAUUAGAUAAGAGCCGGUCGUGGUGGCGCACUCGGGAGGCAGAGGCAGGCGGAUUUCUGAGUUCGAGGCCAGCCUGGUCUACAGAGUGACUUCCAGGACAGCCAGGGCUACACAGAGAAACCCUGUUUCGAAAAACCAACCAACCAAACAAACAAAAUUAGAUAAAAAUGCUUAUUUCUAAGGAUUAUAAGGAUUAUUACAAAAUUUUUAAGAUUAACCUUCAUGGCUUCUGGAUACUGCAGGGGUUGAAUUUAAUGUUAUAACAAUGUCCUCCUGCAGAGGGUCUGGUUCGAUUGCCAGUACCUACAGUACCUACAACCAUCUGGGACUUCAGCUCCAGGGGAAAGAAUGCCCCCUUCUUGCCUCUGUGGGCACCAGGUACAAAUUGGCAUGUAGAUAUGUAUGUAGACUAAGCACCCAUAAACAUAUAAUAAUGUAAAAAUUAAAAGUAUACCAAUAAAACCCUUUAUAGUGUUUGGUUACACACAGCUUUUGACACAUUGAAAUGUUAAAUUUGCUUAUUUUAUUCUGUUGUAAAACAAAUAUAUGUCAACUUUUUAAAUUGCCAGAACUUAAGUAUUUAACAGAGAGUAUGUAGUAAUUUUAGGAGUUUAUCUUAUUGUAUGUCUUCAUAUUAGUGAAUAAAAGUAACUU
rnacentral:lncRNA from 1 species